UUUUGUAUGUAAAUCUUUGCAUUUUAGCUCAAUAGCUUCCAAGUCAUGUAAUUAAUUGGCUCAAAAUCAGUGUGGGAUCAUAGUACUCCACUGGCUGCAUGAGAUACGCCUCUUGUUUUUACAUUUUAAAACCGUUCAUAUUUUUAAUUAAUUUUAAAUUUAAAUAUUAACAUUUUAGCUCAGUAGCUUCCAGGUCAUGGGAU